ACCGUUGCUAUGCACGCGCUAUGGCGGUCGUGGCAUGCAGAGCACAUGCACGCCUGUGUUGUGGUACUAUGAGUGUCUCGCGCAUAUAGAUCGGAAAAGUUAACACCUAAUGUUUUCUUCCUGUAGUGUUAUGUGUUUUAUUGCUUGCAGGGUAUGGGGUCAAUAACGAAAAUGAUCCGCCACGUUCUCCGUCGUCGGUGUCGGGUGAUGCUUGGUCAUGAGUUGCAAUCUUCGUUGCUUAGUAGCCACCGUUUGUCACACCGACGUGCGCUAUGCUCCAAGCAACCAGAAUGUCGUCAAGCCUACAGUACAAACAACAGAUCGAUUGUUUUGGGAAUUGAGACAAGUUGCGAUGACACAGCUGUUGGUAUCGUCGACGACGAGGGAAGCAUCCUCGGCGAAUCAGCCCACUCUCAGCUGGCAAAGCACAUUGAGUAUGGCGGCAUCAUUCCUCCCAUUGCACGAGACAUGCAUGCGGAAAACAUUGCCCAAGUUGCUCAAGAUGCUCUUAAGCAAUGUCCUGUUCCAUUAGAGGCGAUGACAGCCAUUGCAGUAACAACGCGCCCCGGCAUGGCUCUUUCAUUGCGUGUGGGCUUCGACUUUGCUUGCAACCUGGCCCGCAAGUAUGGCAAGCCACUUGUCCCUGUCCACCACAUGGAGGCUCAUGCAACGGCUGUUCGGCUGCAGAACAAGGUGGAGUUUCCCUACCUCGUGCUACUAGUGUCUGGUGGCCACUGCCAGCUGGCCGUGGUGCGUGCUAUCGAUGAUUUUUUGCUGUUGGGGCAAACCAUUGAUGAUGCUCCAGGAGAGGCCUUGGACAAGGUGGCCCGUCGAUUGAAGGUACACAACUUGCCUGAAUGCCGUCUCCUCAGUGGAGGGGCAGCGAUUGAGCUGCUGGCCCGUGGGGCCAACCCUCAUGCCUUCCCAUUCCCCGAGCCGAUGAUGGAUUACCGCAGCUGCGACUUCUCUUUUGCGGGCCUGAAGAACUCUGUUUAUAGGGAAAUCCUGCGUCUGGAGAAGCAACAUGGUAUCGAAGCAGAUGCCCUGGUCCCUGAAGUGCGCGAUGUAUGCGCAUCAGCGCAGCGAGUUGUGGUGCAGCAUUUGGUUCGGCGCACCCAGAGGGCGCUAGAGUUCUGUUCACGGCAGGGCCUGCUGCCUCCACUGGCUUCCGACGAACUGAGACAAGAAAGGGUGGCCCCAACCGUCGUGGUUGCAGGUGGUGUGGCAUGCAACGGUGUGCUCAGAGACGCACUGGCACAGCUGUGUGACCAUCUGGGGGCCAGGUUUGUGGCCACACCUGCCAGGCUGUGCUCAGACAAUGGCCUCAUGGUUGCCUGGAAUGGGCUGGAACUGCACGCAGCUUCGCCAGAAUCGGCUGUUGAGGAUCUCGGUUCACUUAGGGUUGAGCCGAGGUGUCCACUGGGAACAGAUAUUUCACAGUCAGUUGCCAAAGCAUCCAUCAAGCUGCAGAAGAUUAAGCUGAAAUUUGAUUGAACCAAUUGCAAACGUUACUUUGUUCAUAAAGAAAGAAAAGAAGAAAGAGAGAGAAAUUUGGAGGCCAGAAUCACAACCGAGGCUACAUUUAGGCAAAGUAUGCUUAGGCAUAUAUCAAGAUGCUGGAGCAGAGGUCUCCCAUUUAAUUUUGACCACUAUGAGUGGUCAGAUUUAACCAGGGAGAGUAAAUGUCCCUUUAUGCAACCCCUAGGUAGAUGACCUAACUUCGACCACCCCAGGUGGUCAAAAUUAGGUCAGAGUUCUUUAACAUGCUUUGAAAUCUCGAUACCUGGGCAUUGUUGCACUCUGGCCUCAUUAGAAUGAGGCUGCAGUAACUGAAAAUCAAACCCAAAGCCUUGUGCUGAGCAACAGAAUGCUGGUAUAGCCACCAAGCUGCUCCGGUCGGUAUUUUCAUGAUGUUCGUGCCCUCCGCCCACUAACUGGCUGGCCACUGAAGUAUAGUGAUUAACUAAUUUCCAAACUUGGCUAUGGUGUUGGGCUUCUAAGCACGAGGUCUCGGGAUUGUAUCCCAGGCAUGGCAGCCGCAUUUCGAUGCAGGCGAAAUGCGAAAACACCCAUGUACUUAGAUUUAGGUGCACUUUAAAGAGCCUCAGGUGGUCCAAAUUUUCGGAGUCCCCCACCGCAGCAUGCCUCAUAAUCAGAUCGUGGUUUUGGCAUGUAAAACCCCCUAAUUUAGUUUAAAUUUUUUUUUUAAUUUGAAACUAAUGUAUAUAUUUCAUGGUUUGCUUAUACCAGCAGAAGUAUGGAAAGAUAAAGAUGGCAAACGCAAGCAACUACAGCUCUUCCAGAACUGUCAUAAGUUCUGCUUAUUCAAGACUGGAGAUACUCAUGGUGUUCCUAUUCGUUCUUGAAUAAGCAAGCAGUUUUGACUUGCACACAUGUCCAGUGUCUGCUUUCUGUUUUGAUCAAGACAACAAUUCGGCAUCUUGUGUGGUUGUGAUUGUAUUUUUCUGCUGUAUGUAUACUGCGGUCAAUUGUUUCAAGCAAGAAAUGUUUGUAAGAAGUGAAGAGACAUUGCUACUUGCUACAGUGGCUAUGGUAUUGUGUUGCUGAGCACGAAACGUUGUGGGUUCAAUCUUGGCCUUGGUGACCACAUUCCAAUGGAGGUGGAAUGCAAAAACGCUGGAAGGAAAUUUUGCAGCUGGAAGAAAAAUGUGACUUGUUUGGGAACCGAAUCCAGGAAUAAUGCCCAUCUGGGGCAGUCACUCUAUCUCAGCUGAUCAGGAGGGCAGCAGAUUUUGACAACUUGAAGUGCAUGGGCACUAAAUAUGGCAAAUCAGUUCCGUGGAAAUCUGCAAGGUGAAGGAAUUAUUCAUGAACAAGCGUCGUCUGCCUGAAAGUAGCUCUGUGUGGAUUUCUACAGAAUCGAUUGGUUCCAAUAAGCCGUUUCAUCUCAUUAUUAAAAGUUAGUGCUUGUGUUGUGUU
rnacentral:misc_RNA from 1 species